rnacentral:rRNA from 1 species
UACAGAGGUGGCAAGCGUUGUUCGGAAUUACUGGGCGUAAAGGGCGCGUAGGCGGCCUUCUAAGUCAGACGUGAAAUCCCCCGGCUUAACCUGGGAACUGCGUCUGAUACUGGGAGGCUUGAGUGCGGGAGAGGGAUGCGGAAUUCCAGGUGUAGCGGUGAAAUGCGUAGAUAUCUGGAGGAACAUCGGUGGCGAAGGCGGCAUCCUGGACCGGUAUUGACGCUGAGGCGCGAAAGCCAGGGGAGCAAACGGG